rnacentral:rRNA from 1 species
UACGAAGGGUGCAAGCGUUACUCGGAAUUACUGGGCGUAAAGCGUGCGUAGGUGGUUUGUUAAGUCUGUUGUGAAAGCCCCGGGCUCAACCUGGGAAUUGCAUUCGAGACUGCAAGGCUUGGGUGCGGAAGAGGGAAGCGGAAUUUCCGGUGUAGCGGUGAAAUGCAUAGAUAUUGUCAAGAACACCAAUUGCGAAGGCAGCUUACUAAAGUAUAACUGACGCUGAGGCACGAAAGUGCGGGGAUCAAACAGG